AUAAGCAAUCUAUACUGUGAAACUGCGAAUGGCUCAUUAAAUCAGUUAUCGUUUAUUUGAUAGUACCUUACUACACGGAUAUCUGUGGUAAUUCUAGAGUUAAUACGUGCUAAAAACCUCGACUUCGGGAGGGGUGUAUUUAUUAGACUAAAAACCAACGCCCUUCGGGGCUCCUUGGUGAUUCAUAAUAACUCAACGAAUCGCAUGGCCUUGCGCCGGCGAUGGUUCAUUCAAAUUUCUGCCCUAUCAACUUUCGAUGCUAGGGUAGUGGCCUAGCAUGGUGACAACGGGUAACGGGGGAUUAGGGUUCUAUUCCGGAGAGGGAGCCCGAGAAACGGCUACCACAUCCAAGGAAGGCAGCAGGCGCGCAAAUUACCCAAUCCCGACACGGGGAGGUAGUGACAAUAAAUACUGAUACAGGGCUCUUUCGGGUCUUGUAAUCGGAAUGAGUACGAUUUAAAUACCCUAACGAGGAACAAUUGGAGGGCAAGUCUGGUGCCAGCAGCCGCGGUAAUUCCAGCUCCAAUAGCGUAUAUUAAAGNUGUUGCAGUUAAAACGCUCGUCGUUGAACCUUGGGCCUGGACGAUCGGUCCCCCUCACCGGGAGCACUGGUUCGGCCGGGCCUUUCCUUCUGGGGAUCCGCAUGCCCUUCGCUGGGCGUGUCGGGGAACCAGGACUUUUACUUUGAAAAAAUUAGAGUGUUCAAAGCAGGCCUUUGCUCGAAUACCUUAGCAUGGAAUAAUAGAAUAGGACGUGCGGUCCUAUUUUGUUGGUUUCUAGGACCGCCGUAAUGAUUAAUAGGGUCAGUCGGGGGCAUCAGUAUUCAAUUGUCAGAGGUGAAAUUCUUAGAUUUAUUGAAGACUAACUACUGCGAAAGCAUUUGCCAAGGAUGUUUUCAUUAAUCAGUGAACGAAAGUUAGGGGAUCGAAGACGAUCAGAUACCGUCGUAGUCCUAACCAUAAACUAUGCCGACUAGGGAUCGGGGUAUACUCAUUUUUGGUACCUCGGCACCUUACGAGAAAUCAAAGUGUUUGGGUUCUGGGGGGAGUAUAGUCGCAAGGCCGAAACUUAAAGAAAUUGACCGGAGGGGCACACAGGCGUGGAGCUGCGGCUUAAUUGACUCAACACGGGGAAACUCACCAGGUCCAGACACAAUAAGGAUUGACAGAUUGAGAGCUCUUUCUUGAUUUUGUGGGCGGUGGUGCAUGGCCGUUUUUAGUUGGUGGAGUGAUUUGUCUGCUUAAUUGCGAUAACGAACGAGACCUUAACCUGCUAAAUAGCCAGGCUAGCUUUGGCUGGUCGCCGGCUUCUUAGAGGGACUAUCGGCUUCAAGUCGAUGGAAGUUUGAGGCAAAAACAGGUCUGUGAUGCCCUUCGAUGUUCUGGGCCGCACGCGCGCUACACUGACGGAGCCAACGAGUUCAUUUCCUUGACCGAGAGGUCUGGGUAAUCUUGUUAAACUCCGUCGUGCUGGGGAUAGAGCAUUGCAAUUAUUGCUCUUCAACGAGGAAUGCCUAGUAAGCGCAUGUCAUCAGCAUGCGUUGAUUACGUCCCUGCCCUUUGUACACACCGCCCGUCGCUACUACCGAUUGAACGGCUCAGUGAGGNGUUCGGACUGGCCCAGGGAGGUCCGG
rnacentral:rRNA from 1 species